UCCUGCCCUAUGAUUAGUUAAAUGGCUGCAGUAUCCUGACUGUACAAAGGUAGCAUAGUAAUUAGUCUUUUAAUUGGAGGCUUGUAUGAAUGGAAUUAUGAGAUAUUUGUUUUAUUUUCAAUAUAUUUAUAAUUUAAUUUUUAUGUAAAAAAGCUUAAUUUUUUUCCUGGGACGAUAAGACCCUAUAGAACUUUAUUAAUAAUCUUGCUUAUUAAAAUUUAGAUUAAUUUUUGGUUAAGUGUUUUUAUUUUUUUUGCUGGGGCGGCAAAUAAAUUUUACUUUAUUUAUUAUUUUCAUUUUUAAAUGUUUUUUUGAUCCAUUUUUUGAUUAAAAGAUUAAGUUACCUUAGGGAUAACAGCGUAAUUUUAGUGGGGAGUUCAUAUUUAUAUUAAAGUUUGCGACCUCGAUGUUGAAUUAAGAUAAAUUCUGGGGGUAG
rnacentral:rRNA from 1 species